rnacentral:rRNA from 1 species
UAGAUUUAAGAGUUUGGUCCUGGCUCAGAUUGAACGCUAGCGGGAUGCCUUACACAUGUAAGUCGAACGGCAGCACGGACUUCGGUCUGGUGGCGAGUGGCGAACGGGUGAGUAAUGUAUCGGAAUGUGCUCAGUAGCGGGGGAUAACUACGCGAAAGCGUAGCUAAUACCGCAUACGCCCUACGGGGGAAAGCAGGGGAUCGCAAGACCUUGCACUAUUGGAGCGGCCGAUAUCGGAUUAGCUAGUUGGUGGGGUAACGGCUCACCAAGGCGACGAUCCGUAGCUGGUUUGAGAGGACGACCAGCCACACUGGGACUGAGACACGGCCCAGACUCCUACGGGAGGCAGCAGUGGGGAAUUUUGGACAAUGGGGGAAACCCUGAUCCAGCCAUCCCGCGUGUGCGAUGAAGGCCUUCGGGUUGUAAAGCACUUUUGGCAGGAAAGAAACGUCAUGGGUUAAUACCCCGUGAAACUGACGGUACCUGCAGAAUAAGCACC